AUCUCCUGACAUUCUCCCUCAGACACUAACCACAACCUUUUAAGGGCAGACAGCUGCCCCUGACACUCUAGGGAGCACACACCCAACAGAGACUUCUGGAAGUCGAUAUGAUGGGAAGAUUGGGAUUCUGGUCCUCCUGGGAACAUCCUUGGUGGCCUUUGCUAGCCUGUCUCCCACCUGCUGCCUGCAAAAUGGUUUCCUUCAAGAUUAAAACAUUCCAAACUAAAGGGAAGCUCCUAAAACAAGGAGGUGAACAACUCACAAUAGCUUCAGGAAGUCCCUGAAACUGACCAGAUUUACUCAGUGGUAAUAAAGACUGCGGAGAGUCACUCUUGCCUACUGAAACCAGACCAACUUUCUGGGAGAAGCAGAAACCAGUCGAGCAGCCUAGAAGAGUUUUAGACCAGAGGAUACUCUCCGACCUGUUGAGCUGCCUGCAGACUGUACAGAUUCCCAGCACUGUGAACUGUCACCCAUGCCGGGGUGGACCUUGGUCGUGCAGCUGUCUGAGUCAUUUCUGCUCCUGCGAUUCCAACUGUCUGCUCUCCAGGGAAGCUAACUGAUGCCUCAGGCUGAUCUGAGCCCCAGGAAACAAUGGCCUCACAGAGGUGGCAGAUGCAAGCAUGCCCAACACAAUAGAAGCGAUUUGGGAAGGAUGGUACCAUGCAGGGAGGCAGAUGCAUAUGCUGAAAGGAUGGAGAUGAAACAGAGAUGUGGAUCGGACAAAUGCCUGUCUUCUCCUCAGAGGAGGUGGCAGGAAAUGCAGGCACAGAUGCAAGGAGUGCCCCUCCAGCCCACUCCUACAGUUCAGUUCCUGCAAAGCUCCUCCCUCUGCUAAGAACCAAAAACUGUGACACAACAACCCAAUAAACCUUGGGAGACACUGUCCUUGCCCCACUAAGGUCCCCAGCAGGACCAGGGACCCAUG
rnacentral:lncRNA from 1 species